UUUUGACCAUUGCCAUCGUCAGGACGAAAGAAUCGCCACUUAAAUCAUCUGGAUCGCCGAUCCUGUCGUCAGUCAGUCUACUUAUUAAGCUUCAGCACCUGCUGCAGUCACCAGAGCACCAAUUAAGUCUACAGGCAGAGAGCUGAGUGGUCCCACAGCAACAGUGUCCAGAGGCAGUCCUGUAUAUGUGCGUGCCUCCUCCUUGCGUG